UACAGAUGGGGCAAGCGUUGUUCGGAAUUACUGGGCGUAAAGGGCGCGUAGGCGGCCGGCUCAGUCGAACGUGAAAUCCCCGGGCUCAACCCGGGAACUGCGUUCGAUACUGGCUGGCUUGAAUCCGGGAGAGGGAUGCGGAAUUCCAGGUGUAGCGGUGAAAUGCGUAGAUAUCUGGAGGAACACCGGUGGCGAAGGCGGCAUCCUGGACCAACACUGACGCUGAGGAGCGAAAGCCAGGGGAGCAAACGGG
rnacentral:rRNA from 1 species